AGGGUUCGAUUCUGGCUCAGGAUGAACGCUGGCGGCGUGCUUAACACAUGCAAGUCGAACGAAGCACUUCCGCAUGAGACUUCGGUGGAAUGAGGGAGUGACUGAGUGGCGGACGGGUGAGUAACGCGUGGGCAACCUGCCUUACACAGGGGGAUAACAGUUAGAAAUGACUGCUAAUACCGCAUAAGCGCACGGUACCGCAUGGUACAGUGUGAAAAACUCCGGUGGUGUAAGAUGGGCCCGCGUUGGAUUAGGUAGUUGGUGGGGUAACGGCCUACCAAGCCGACGAUCCAUAGCCGGCCUGAGAGGGCGACCGGCCACAUUGGGACUGAGACACGGCCCAA
rnacentral:rRNA from 1 species